CUAGCUGGCUUCUUGAGAGCUGGCUUUAAGGGAGAAUUUUAGUAGAUAUAGUGUGUGACUGUGUGUAUAUGAGAGAGAAAUUGAGAGUGAAAAACAGACAGAGAGUGCAGGGAGAGAAGAAGCUACUACUGCUAAAUUUCUUUAUUUUUUGCAGAGGAUAAAGAAAAGGGCUCAGACCAGAUGGGAAGAGCUGGCAGUAUAAAAGGUGGGGGAGGCAGUACAAGAAGCACAAAGCAGAUGAAGUUUCUUGGCAAGGUAUCCCAUUGAUGUCAAAAUCAGACUCAGAUAUACUUAAAACAGAUCCAGUGAAAUCCAGAUAUUUUUUGUGUAUCCAGUUGAUGUUCCAGU
rnacentral:lncRNA from 11 species